rnacentral:rRNA from 1 species
UACGUAGGGUGCAAGCGUUAAUCGGAAUUACUGGGCGUAAAGCGUGCGCAGGCGGUUCGCUAAGACAGAUGUGAAAUCCCCGGGCUUAACCUGGGAACUGCAUUUGUGACUGGCGGGCUAGAGUAUGGCAGAGGGGGGUAGGAAUUCCACGUGUAGCAGUGAAAUGCGUAGAGAUGUGGAGGAAUACCGAUGGCGAAGGCAGCCCCCCUGGGCCAAUACUGACGCCUCAUGACACGGAAAGCGUGGGGAGCAAACAGG